AUUGUAUCAAGAGAGGUGGAGGGACUGGCCCUUUGAAACCUCGGCAGCAGGUUCAUUUUUGAAUACUGUGCCACUUCCUGCAAGCUUUAUAGCUUGAAAGAUAGAAU
rfam:Bacillus anthracis str. 'Ames Ancestor', complete genome.